GGGUCAGUAGGUUGGUCGUGCCACCGGUACGUACUGAUCUCACUGAUUCCUCCUUCCUGAAGAACCGUAAUGCCAUUAAUUUGGUGUUGCGGGGAAACAGGACUGUUACUUUGAAAAAAUUAGAGUGUUUAAAGCAAGCUAACGCUUGGAUACAUUAGCAUGGAAUAAUGAAAUAGGACGAUCGAUCCUAUUUUGUUGGUUUCUAGGAUUGACGUA
rnacentral:rRNA from 1 species